rnacentral:lncRNA from 1 species
GUUAACUAAUUUGUUCCACCCUCAAACAGUUUCUGAAAAGGACUAAAUGAACCAUGUAAACCAGAAUUCCAGGGAUAUUAAAUGAAUAAUUCCAAAACUUAGACUUCAUACCUUCUGGAGACGCGCAUGAUCAUAGGUAUCACCCUGCUCCAUGACAUCCGGGCUUGGUGCGUAGCAGGACUGGACAACAAUGUGUUUUGAAGGAAGAAAUGCCGAGCUGUCCAUCAAAUAAACACACUGGGGCCCAGUCCUGGCAUGGCACCCAGCUUCCUGAUUCUGAUUCCAGGUCCCGGGGACCCCAACAUCUCUCCAUGCCAGAACCAUCGGUGCAGGCGGAUGCCAGAGUUUCCCAGACAGAUGGGGAAACCAACAUGGGACAAUUCAAACAGGAAGUGACCAGAGCCCAAGUCACUGCUUCAGCUGACUCCUGUGGCUGUUCCUUUCUUCUCCAUGACAAAAGAGCUACAUUUUCUCAGGACUGGGUGCCACCUGCCAGGACUAGAAGCCCUGUACCCCAUGACUGAGGAUGGGAGCAAUUCAGGGUCUCCCACGCCACACUGGUGCCACUGUGUCACCUCCACCCCAAUCAGAGGUCAUAUUAAGUGACUCAUUUCUUCACGGGUUCCUUGUCUGUCUCUGCCCACGAAGAGAUUGGCUCCACAAGUCGACAGCCCAGUUUAUAUCUCAUCCAUCAUCCUUUAGACAAUGACUGAGACACAGCUUAGAACUCACUCCCUGUUUGUUGAUGAAACCAAUAAACAAAUGGUCUGCC